CAGCGCGCGGCAAGAGCACCCCCGCGCGGCCGCCUCGCCCCCCGGCCCGGGACGGCUCUGCCCGGGGCCCGGGGUCCGGGGUCCGGGGGUCGCUUAUGUCCCGUCGCCCUCGGCGACCGGAGAGACUAUCAAGCGUGUUUCCUCGCGUUUUACGGGGAAACUGAUGCCCGUGCUCCAGACCCUACCGCCCAACUCCAGAGACAUUCUCCAGAGGUGCCAGCUCCCGGGCUGGACACUUGUGCCACCUCUGAGCCCAGGACAAACGGGGGCAAGGGUAGAGUGUCAACAGCCCCAGCCCUAGCCGCGGGCCACCCCUCGCGGCCGGGCCCGGGAGCCCUGUGGCACACGUGGGUCGGGCCCGGCUCAUCCCAGCCGUGGUCCCGGGUCGUCUUCUCCACGUGGAAGCAACAGCGCACUGGAGCCGGCCUAGAGGACUCCACCCCCGGCGUGUCACUGCGAGUCGUACGGUGAAAGUGUAGGUGUCCCUGGCGCUGCACCUCGCACUCGAGGCUCGAGGGGGCUCAUCUGUGGCUCCUUCAGUCCUCUCUUAUUCAUUCAUUCAUUCAUUCAACACAUUAUUGAGUAACGACCAUUAGCCUGAAUGCUGGAAAUGGAAAAAUGAGUGAAAUAUAAUCCUACCCCAGGAAGCUCAUAGGCUAAUAAAUAAUGAUUUGGGAUAAAUAUAUGGAAGAAAUUGUCAUUAUUCAUCAAUGUUUAGGAACAGUCCCAAAGAUGGUUUAUAAGAAAAAGAAACAUUACAAAUAUAUGAGGAAGUUUCUGACUUAACUUCCUGCUGAAAUUCCUGGGAAGACGGAGACGAAGAUGAAGGCUCACGUACCCCUCGUAUCCUGGAAGCAAUGAAUUGUAGUGGUUCAGAGCUUGGACAUCUUGUGGUCCUGGAUAAGAAUGUUGACUCAGCCACAGUAGGAAGCUGUGGACCUCGGGAAAAUUACCUACCGACUUUGUGCCUCUGUUUCCCGAUCUGUAAAAUGGGGAUUCCAAUGCCUGCCUGGGGGGGUUAACCUGAGGAUUUCCUACAAUGGUAUUUAUGUAUAACCGGGAUGACUUGCUUCACAAAACCCACGUGCAAAAAAGAGCACAUUUCUUGAUUACUCUGAAUGUUAUAUAUAAUAUAACAAAGUCUGGAUCUGAGCCCUCCACUUUCCGAGGACUGCAAGAAGCUUAGUAUCAGUUGGCGUGUGCAGCUCACAAAAACUGGGGACAGGCCCUUUGUUCUUCGACUCUGUGGUCACUGCACUCAGCACUGCCCCUGCUGCAGAGCAGCCUCUGUGGAGAUCGAGUGGUCACCACCCUCUGGAGCUGCUGCUCACGGUGGGCUUUGGUGACACCAGCUUAGCAGCCCUGAUGUGAGGUUCACGCACCCCCAUAGUGAAGCCCCUUCUAGAAUGUCACACUUGGGCAGGGUGUCGGUGUCUGUCACCUGCAGAAACUUCAGUCCCACAGCUCACAGAUCCUGGGGAUUCACCCCCUUUCUGGGCUGGAUCUUUCUGCCAACCCACAGAAACACCAGGCUCCGUCCCCUCCUUGGACAGUCAUGGCCGCUUCCUGAGAGGACCCAGAACCCCCAAACCAAGGCUCGUAUGGAGGCAAUUUCUUUAGAGGUUCCUGGAACACAAAGGAGCUGUCAGCACUUCUUUGGGGCUAAAGAGCCAAGACCUUAGAAAACAAAGACCUGUCUUUUCCUCCAGUGGAAAGUGUUGGAGUGUAUGAGAAUGCAACACAAUUCACAUGCUGACAUAUUUGGAAACUAUUAAGCACAC